rnacentral:rRNA from 1 species
UCCACGCCCUAAACGAUGCGAACUGGAUGUUGGGUGCAAUUUGGCACGCAGUAUCGAAGCUAACGCGUUAAGUUCGCCGCCUGGGGAGUACGGUCGCAAGACUGAAACUCAAAGGAAUUGACGGGGGCCCGCACAAGCGGUGGAGUAUGUGGUUUAAUUCGAUGCAACGCGAAGAACCUUACCUGGUCUUGACAUGUCGAGAACUUUCCAGAGAUGGAUUGGUGCCUUCGGGAACUCGAACACAGGUGCUGCAUGGCUGUCGUCAGCUCGUGUCGUGAGAUGUUGGGUUAAGUCCCGCAACGAGCGCAACCCUUGUCCUUAGUUGCCAGCACGUAAUGGUGGGAACUCUAAGGAGACCGCCGGUGACAAACC